rnacentral:rRNA from 1 species
UACGUAGGCAGCAAACGUUGUUCGGAAUUACUGGGCGUAAAGAGUGUGUAGGCGGUUUCGUAAGUUCUGUGUGAAAUCUCCCGGCUUAACUGGGAGGGUGCGCCGAAGACUGCGAGGCUUGAGUACUGGAGAGGAGAGCGGAAUUCCUGGUGUAGCGGUGAAAUGCGUAGAUAUCAGGAGGAACACCGGUGGUGUAGACGGCUCUCUGGACAGUCACUGACGCUGAGACACGAAAGCGUGGGGAGCAAACAGG